rnacentral:rRNA from 1 species
UACGUAGGGGGCGAGCGUUGUCCGAAGUUACUGGGCGUAAAGCGCGCGUAGGCGGCCAUUUAAGUUCGGGGUGAAAGGUUCAGCGCUCAACGCGAACAGUGCCCUGGAUACUGGGUGGCUUGAGUCCGGGAGGGGGCAGUGGAAUUCCGGGUGUAGCGGUGAAAUGCGUAGAUAUUCGCAGGAACACCAGUGGCGAAGGCGGCUUACUGGUCCAUUACUGACGCUGAGGUGCGAAAGCGUGGGGAGCAAACAGG